CCUACGGGAGGCAGCAGUAGGGAAUCUUCCACAAUGGGCGAAAGCCUGAUGGAGCAACGCCGCGUGGGUGAAGAAGGUCUUCGGAUCGUAAAACCCUGUUGUUAGAGAAGAAAGUGCGUGAGAGUAACUGUUCACGUUUCGACGGUAUCUAACCAGAAAGCCACGGCUAACUACGUGCCAGCAGCCGCGGUAAUACGUAGGUGGCAAGCGUUGUCCGGAAUGAUUGGGCGUAAGGGGAACGCAGGCGGUCUUUUAAGUCUGAUGUGAAAGCCUUCGGCUUAACCGGAGUAGUGCAUUGGAAACUGGGAGACUUGAGUGCAGAAGAGGAGAGUGGAACUCCAUGUGUAGCGGUGAAAUGCGUAGAUAUAUGGAAGAACACCAGUGGCGAAAGCGGCUCUCUGGUCUGUAACUGACGCUGAGGUUCGAAAGCGUGGGUAGCAAACAGGAUUAGAUACCCUUGUAGUC
rnacentral:rRNA from 1 species